rnacentral:lncRNA from 1 species
CGCGGUAAAUACUGGGCAGUAAAAGAGGGGAAAAAAGGGAUAAAUAGCCAUUGCUGUUAUUUAACCUGAAGGAAAUGGUGAUCUGAGCACAUGCCAUCCAUCCAGUUCUUCAGCCAUUCCAAAAAGCACUUCUUAUAUGGAUUAGGAAGUUCAGCGCUGACGUUCAAUCACAGGCGCUAUAAUCACCUGGAGCCCUGAGUCUCAAAAUGUUCCCCAGAGAGCCGGAGGGCCUCAUGGAAGCGUCCGGGCGAUGGGCAAGCCAGGGGCCUCUGCUCCUUCUCGCCCUGCUGACUAGGAGGCAGGAAUCCUGACUGUUUACAUCUGUGGGGUCCACCGAGGACCACAUCUGACUAAAAGCCCCCAUGGACAAUCUUGGAAAGAGAGGGAUAACAUGAAAUGUCUAUUACUGCCUCGUUGAAGAUACCAUGUUCUCUGUAAGAACACAGUUUUGAAAGUCAAAUACAGAUGACGAGGUGCACACUGACCAUUCAGAAGCAGAGUCGGUCCCGUGUUUCACUGCAGCGACUCAGGGCGUGAGUGAGGACAUUCUCUCCAUUUCAUCCACUGACCAGGGGUAAAGGUCAGCGGUUGCAGCAACAGGAGCUUCAAGGUGCUUCUAUUGACGUCACCUCAUUGUUCCUCACAACAAGUCUGAGACGUCUAGAUAGAUGUGAUCGUUACUUCACUUCAGGUCCUACAAAACCCAGGUCCUGCUACGAGAAUGUGAAAUCUGUUCUGCCCAUCACCCUCCUCCUAUCUACAGAGAAGUGGAGUUGAAGUGAGGAGGAGGGAGAAUUCCUUUGGAGGUAAACAUCAGUGUGCUCUGUCUCUUCAAGUGUAUCAAUCAGAGAGCUAUGUCCCCUCCAUUGGGAGGUGGACAUAAGAAUGUGUGAGAAAAUGGCUAGAUUGGCCUGAGACAACAGAGCAGAGAGAGAGAGAAGGUGGUACUUUCACUCUCAAUGGAGGGGGAGCGGAAGGGGGCAAGGGUGCAUGCUUCCCAGGGACCAGAUAUGCAGAGAGAACUGGAGCCAUAUCAUAAAGAGACUCCACCCCAGAUGGCAGCCUGGCGUAGCGAAGGGACCCAAAAGAGGGGCAGAGGAAGGCAACCUUUUGACAUCAAGAGGCUAAAAAUUCCACCCUCAGAUCAUGCUAAUGCCACCAUUUUGGGAGCAUGCAUCCUAUGAAGAGCCAUGAAGUCUGACUACGCUUGCACAGAUCAGUUACCUCACCUCUCCUCACCUCCUAUCACCUAUCUCGACAUUUCAGACCACCUUGCCCCCUACUGCAUAAAUAUCCUUGACUCCCUGUUUUCAGGGAGGCGGAUUUGAGACCCAUGCUCUCUCUUCCUCGCAUGGCUGCCUUGUGUUAAAACCCUCUUUCUGCAGCAAUCUCGUCGUCUCCGUGUUUGGCUUUCCGGGCGGCAGGAAAAACGAACCUGGUGCAGUAACAAUUAGAAUAUGCUGGAAAUAUCAUGUAAUUUGGAUAAGUAUUGUUUCCUGAAACUUUGCUUCAGGUUUAUAAAGAGGUGUUGGUGUAAAUUUUAUUUUUUUUCUUUACUGUGGAUCGCAGUCCAAAAACGUUUGAAAGCCCCUGUUUUAAUUUGCUCUCCUUGUGCCUUGUUCUGGAGGGAUCAGGCUGCUGAAAUCUGGGAGGUUACGAACAGACCUCUGGAGACAGUUUCUACGUAAACUAGGGCCAGUUAUCUUACCUCUCCGUGGCUUGGUGUCUUCUCCGUAAAACACGGAUAACGAUAGUGCUCAACUCACAGGGUUGUUACGGCACUUAAGGGGAUUAAAGCUGCACCUAAGGGCAUUAAAGCUGAUCCACACCAAGUGCUUCUAACAGGACUUGAAGAACAGUAUGUAUUUGGUAAAUGCUAAUCAUUGUUGUAAUGGGGGUUAUUUCUUCCCCUGGCCAGAGGCAACAUUGUAACUAUAGGGCACAGCUAAUUCUUCCCUAGAUUGUAUGCAUACAGCCCAGCUUUGUUCAGCUGUAGACAAUGAUUUCUGUGAGCAAAUAGGCCCCACAAAUAUUUAUGGAGCAGCUCCUGUUACUGAGCAAGGGCUUGCCAUCCAAUGUGCAAAGAAGCUGCUGCCGCAGUACGCCGGUCUUUGAGAGAAACAGUUUGUCACUCAAUUCAUUGGUAAAGAGGCAGAAGGACAGGCUUUCAACUCCGUCUCCCGAAUCCAGGGUAUGGGAAGUGAAGUUAAGAGGGGAAACCUCAACUAAAUCAGUUUGGGAAGGCCUGUACGGGGAGCUCUCACGCCUUAUCGUACAUCAUCAAUUACUCCAACCAGGAAGAGACUAUGCUUGCAUCUCCAACAGGAGGGUAUUUUCUACUUCACUACCCAGCAGGAGGAAGGAUGAUUUCUCUCCUUGCCCGGCAACAGCUCAGCCAACGAGAGACUGUAGCAACCCAGCCAAUGGGAAGCCUCUACACUUUGGACUCCCAGUUUCCUCUGAUGGAUUUUUAAAUUUAUUACAACCCUUCUCAACUCCCCCUUUUCCUCUGUAAAAGUAGGCCCCUUUUUGUUGUUUCUCUGGAUUUGCCUAUGGUCCCCCAGAC